GGAAGCUAAGGGUUCCUUUUGAGUUGCAUGGGGACCUGGGGAACCCGCUCGUGUUUCCUCAGGGAAAUCAGAUCUGCUUUCGAGUUGCUAGGGGGACCUCGGGAUUCCUCUUGAGUCGCUGCAGGGAUGAGUAGGGCUUCAUCUCGAGUUGAGGCGGAAACCUCAGUGUUCCUCACCAUUUCUGACAUCGAUCUCGGGGUUUCUGUGGAGUAUGAACAGGAGAGGCAGGCCUUGUCUUGUGUUGAGGCAUGGAACUUGGCUUGCCCCUUGAGCUGUAAAUAGGGUGUCAGGCCUCUUGUCGAGUUGGAUUUAGAACCUGUGGCUUUUUUUGGAGGAUGCAAUCGGGGUGUCAGUGCCCUUUCGUGCUGUGAGUCGAUCCUCGUGGUUCCAUUCAAAUCAGUUUAGGGGCAUCAGGCCUUAUCUUGAGUGGAUGGGGAAAUCGAUGUCUUUGGCAUUGUGGCAUGAACCACGAGGCUUCCUGUUGAGUUUCAAUGCGAGACCGGCCUCCUCUUGAGGUGUGACGGGAAUGUGGGGAUUCCUUUUCAGACAAAGCAGGGGAAUCGACCCUCAUCUUGAGAUGAGGAGGGGCAAAGGGGCUCAGAUUGAGGUCUGCUGGGGAAAUCGGUGUUCCUCUCGAGUGGGGACGGGUAUGUUGGAAAACUGCUGGAGUUGCAUAAAGGGUGUUGAGUACUGUUUCGAGUUUCAAGAGGGAACGUGGGCUUUCUCUCGAGAUGCUACAGAAGGAAAGGACCUCAUCUCAAGUUGAGGGGAGAAUCCUGUGGUUUUCCUUGAGGCCUGGCGUGAAGUUUCGUGUUCCUCUCGAGUUGCAACGUGGACCUCAGUGUCCCGCUCGUAUUGCCUCAGUUGCGACGGGUGCUGGGGUCCAGCCCCGGUGGAUCCAGGGAAUUCGAAGCGGGGAUGGCGUCGGCGAGGAUCAGGAAACAACUGCUUAAUUAAACGUUAAUUAAGGAUAUAAAGAGUAAUAGAAUAAGGAUAGCUCAGUAGGAAAAUUCAGUGAAGAAAAGAGGCUGAAAUAAGGAUAGCUCAGUGAGGAAAUUCAGUGGAGAAAAGAGGCUGAAUAAUUCAGCCAGAAGGUGAGAGAAAGAACGACAUGGGGAGACCAAGUUUUGGUGAACAAGGCCCGCACUUUAUUUUCCAAAGUAGUUUUUAUACCUUAAGUUAUGCAUAGAGGAUAAUGGGGGAAGGGGUAGAGUCAUGCAGCAAGCCAGGCUUUCUUCCUGCAAACUUAUCAUAUGCAAAAGCUUAGGUGAUUUGCAUCAUCUUCUGGCCUGGAGGCCUGUUACCAUUUUAAGGCCCUUUCUUCAGAAAAC
ensembl:lncRNA